rnacentral:rRNA from 1 species
AUUGAACGCUGGCGGCAGGCCUAACACAUGCAAGUCGAGCGGAGCGGCGGACGGGUGAGUAAUGCCUAGGAAUCUGCCUGGUAGUGGGGGAUAACGUCCGGAAACGGGGGCUAAUACCGCAUACUAUCAGAUGAGCCAAGGUCGGAUUAGCUAGUUGGGGGGGUAAAGGCCUACCAAGUCGACGAUCCGUAACUGGUCUGAGAUGAUGAGCAGUCACACUGGAACUGAUACCCGGUCCAGACUCCUACGGUCGGCAGCAUGUGCGAAUAGUGGACAAUGGGCGAAAGCCUGAUCCAGCUAUGCCGCGUGUGUGAAGAAGGUCUUCGGAUUGUAAAGCACUUUAAGUUGAGAGGCGUUACCAACAGAAUAAGCACCGGCUAACUUCGUGCCAGCAGCCGCGGUAAUUC